rnacentral:lncRNA from 1 species
CGUGACGACAGUAGGCGUGUGUGUGUGUGCGUGUGUGUGUGAGUGAUUUUAACACAGUAUUUGUUUGUGUUGAAACUGUUAGGUUCCUUCAGUUCAUCUGCAGUUGUCCGUGAAUAUGGCGCUUGUUUGGAGAAAUAUACUCAUACUUGUGUUUGCGCACUUCGUUGUGUCUCAUUUGUCUACUCGAUGUGGCGAACCAACAAAGUAUCCCGGCAAGCAGCUGCACAAAAGUUAUCGCCAUAAAUUAAAGUUCUAUGAUGGAGAAAGAGUGAUGUAUACAUGUCCCCCGGGUUACACACCAUCAGAAGGAAGUCUAACAUCACGGUGUCUGCGAGGACACUGGACAGCCUUGAACCUGAAAUGCCAAAGUAAGAUGCAUCUGUUUAUCUGUGUCUCUAAAAUAUCUCUUUUAUUCAUUCAUUGUACUCCACGUUUUCAUAUUUUCUCAUUUAUUCUCACAGAGAAAAAGUGCAAUGCGCUAGGUGACGUAGAGAAUGGGCAGUACAUUCGAGAAGGACAGUCAUUUGGCGAUAAAGCCAUUGCUACGUGUAAUAAAGGGUAUUUUAACCUUAUUUUCAUUUUUUUUAAAUGUCUGCAGUCCAUAAAUUGGUGAAAACAUGGUUA